CAGGACGACGCUGGCGGCGUGCCUAAUACAUGCAAGUCGAACGGUCUUUUCUAUGGAAGCUUGCUUCCACUGAGAAGAUAGUGGCGAACGGGUGAGUAACACGUGGGUAACCUGCCCAUAAGAGGGGGAUAACAUCCGGAAACGGGUGCUAAUACCGCAUAGUUUUCUUGAUUGCAUGAUUGAGAAAGGAAAGACGGCCUUUGUGCUGUCGCUUAUGGAUGGACCCGCGGCGUAUUAGUUAGUUGGUGAGGUAACGGCUCACCAAGACGAUGAUACGUAGCCGACCUGAGAGGGUGAUCGGCCACAUUGGGACUGAGACACGGCCCAAACUCCUACGGGAGGCAGCAGUAGGGAAUCUUCCGCAAUGGACGAAAGUCUGACGGAGCAACGCCGCGUGAGUGAAAGAAGGUUUUCGGAUCGUAAAACUCUGUUGUCAGAGAAGAACAAGUUGGAGAGUAACUGCUCCAGCCUUGACGGUAUCUGACCAGAAAGCCACGGCUAACUACGUGCCAGCCGCCGC
rnacentral:rRNA from 1 species